UGGGGAAUAUUGCACAAUGGGCGAAAGCCUGAUGCAGCGACGCCGCGUGAGGGAUGACGGCCUUCGGGUUGUAAAUCUCUUUCAGCAGGGACGAAGCGCAAGUGACGGUACCUGCAGAAGAAGCACUGGCUAACUACGUGCCAGCAGCCGCGGUAAUACGUAGGGUGCAAGCGUUGUCCGGAAUUACUGGGCGUAAAGAGUUCGUAGGCGGUUUGUCGCGUCGUUUGUGAAAACCAGCAGCUCAACUGCUGGCUUGCAGGCGAUACGGGCAGACUUGAGUACUGCAGGGGAGACUGGAAUUCCUGGUGUAGCGGUGAAAUGCGCAGAUAUCAGGGGGAACACCGGUGGCGAAGGCGGGUCUCUGGGCAGUAACUGACGCUGAGGAACGAAAGCGUGGGUAGCGAACAGG
rnacentral:rRNA from 1 species